rnacentral:misc_RNA from 1 species
CUUUUAAGAGGAUUUUGCAAGCUUGCUUUAUUUCUAAUGCAAGUGGAAAUGCUGAUGCACAGUACCAAUCUGAAAUCAUAUUCAUGGGAACAGUGAAGGGAUUCCACGUCUCAGCUGCCUUACUAAUCCUCUAAAGAAAUGUCCGGUGUGCUCAAAGGCUGUGGAACCAGGUAAUAAGAACAGAAGAUUGAACACGAGCCUCCUUAUUCGUUAUUCUGGGCCUGGUGAAAGACGCAACAUUCUAAUAGAUGCUGGCAAGUUCUUCUACCACAGUGCUCUUCAAUGGUUUCCUGCAUUUGGGCUAAGAACAAUUGAUGCGGUUAUUAUUACUCAUUCUCAUGCUGAUGCAAUUGGAGGUCUGGAUGAUCUUCGAGAUUGGACAAACAAUGUGCAGCCCUACAUUCCAAUCUAUGUUGCAG